UAGGGAAUCUUCGGCAAUGGACGAAAGUCUGACCGAGCAACGCCGCGUGAGUGAAGAAGGUUUUCGGAUCGUAAAACUCUGUUGUUAGAGAAGAACAAGGACGUUAGUAACUGAACGUCCCCUGACGGUAUCUAACCAGAAAGCCACGGCUAACUACGUGCCAGCAGCCGCGGUAAUACGUAGGUGGCAAGCGUUGUCCGGAUUUAUUGGGCGUAAAGCGAGCGCAGGCGGUUUCUUAAGUCUGAUGUGAAAGCCCCCGGCUCAACCGGGGAGGGUCAUUGGAAACUGGGAGACUUGAGUGCAGAAGAGGAGAGUAGAAUUCCAUGUGUAGCGGUGAAAUGCGUAGAUAGAUGGAGGAACACCAGUGGCGAAGGCGGCUCUCUGGUCUGUAACUGACGCUGAGGCUAGAAAGCGUGGGGAGCAAACAGG
rnacentral:rRNA from 1 species